GGUUCAUUAACUCUUCACCAUUAAACGAUUAUCGUAUUAAUAUUGAGUCUUUUUAUAAAAAAAAAUCAGUCAAUUGCAGGAAAAAGACAUAAAUUGUUCCAGCCCAUGAUUGUAUGUGAUAGGCACUUUAGGAGAUGAGACAAAUGCAGCAAAAGGAAAAUACAUAGAAAAGAAAAUAAAGGUGUCGUGAUCCAGCGUCCCCGAGUAUCUACGCUGUUGGUUCGGCAAGUACCCCCUUGCUCUCCCUGUACGGAAAGUCUCUACCCACCAUGCCACGCUAUGCCGUGGUGUGCUGCGCUGUGCUACGGUUCGCCGUGCCAUCCUCAACCGCGUAGCGUGGCUAGUUGUUUCUUUUCUUUAUUCCUUUGUCGGAAAGUCGGUGGCGAGUCUCGUUUUUAAGAGAAGAGUAGAGGGGAGGAGGCAAAAAGGAAAAUGACGACCGACUCAGCAGGGGCUGAGGAAGGAAUGGUCGGGCCAGGGCCCACGGGGAGGGGUUACAAGAAGGGCAGGAGGGUGGGAGGGCCACGCAGCAAGGAGAAUAAAACUGAACUGUCCUACUAUCUGCGUCCGCCGUGGAGUGCACGGGACUGCACUUUAAAGAAGAACGCCGACGCUUGCCGCUCGGUUUGUCCCCGUGCCUUCGAAUGCAGUCGUCCGGCCGGCCUUUGCCGUCUGUUUCGUUUGCGUUAUUAUGCAAUGUUACGCGCGUAUAUCGCGCGCUGCCGCGCAUGCCGUCGUGCUAUUAAAGAAAAUUGACAUUUCGCGCUGUCUUGCAUUCUUUAGUAGCCGUAAGAACAUAAUGUGUCAAACACGUCAGGGGGAUAUUAGAUUAAGCUUAAGGUUCAAGCUUGGCAUGGUAUAAAUCUAAUACGAGUAUCGAAGACUCAUUCAUAUAUACUUCGCUGAAGA